AUGCUAUGGUCGUUUAAAUUGGCGUUCUUUGUAUAUUUUGGAAUUAAAAUUUCGACUGUCAGCUAGUGUUCAUGUUUGGUCGAUCUACCUAUAUAUAUAUAUAUAGCUAGUAGCAGGUUAUGAUAGAUAGUUUUUAGUUGGUCUAUCGGCCGUGUUGUCCAUUUCUGUCUGUGGAUUGUGAAAAUGCAGGAUUUUUUCUCAGCAGAGAAUACGAUGGAUUCAGCAUACCUGUCUCUUUUUGAGAAAUCUUUGCUUCAGUCUUCCCCAUGUUUUCUCCUUUUACUUGGAGCACCACUACGAGUUUUUCAUUUUGGUUGGAGAAAUUCUCCAAAACGGAUAAAUACUCUCGGAACUAUUUUGACGGUUUUAAUUGCUGUUUUAACAUUGGGUGUGUUAGCACUUAAUAUACAUGGCUUUCUGGAAGGUGAUCCAUCGUUGACGGAAUUGUUUCCAGUGCUUGUCAUUAUAACAAUGGCAUUGGAAGCAUAUUUAUCUCGAACAAAGAAGAUAUCACGGCCUCGUUCAAAACUUUCUUCGCUGUUACUACUGAUG